GUGGGGAAUAUUGGACAAUGGGCGAAAGCCUGAUCCAGCCAUGUCGCGUGUGUGAAGAAGGUCUUCGGAUUGUAAAGCACUUUAAGUUGGGAGGAAGGGUAGUAACCUAAUACGUUGCUACUUUGACGUUACCGACAGAAUAAGCACCGGCUAACUUCGUGCCAGCAGCCGCGGUAAUACGAAGGGUGCAAGCGUUAAUCGGAAUUACUGGGCGUAAAGCGCGCGUAGGUGGUUCGUUAAGUUGGAUGUGAAAGCCCCGGGCUCAACCUGGGAACUGCAUCAAAAACUGGCGAGCUAGAGUACGGUAGAGGGUGGUGGAAUUUCCUGUGUAGCGGUGAAAUGCGUAGAUAUAGGAAGGAACACCAGUGGCGAAGGCGACCACCUGGACUGAUACUGACACUGAGGUGCGAAAGCGUGGGGAGCAAACAGGAUUAGAAACCCCGGUAGUCC
rnacentral:rRNA from 1 species